rnacentral:rRNA from 1 species
UAGGGAAUCUUCCGCAAUGGACGCAAGUCUGACGGAGCAACGCCGCGUGAGUGAAGAAGGAUUUCGGUUCGUAAAACUCUGUUGUUAGAGAAGAACAGCGCAUAGAGUAACUGUUAUGCGUGUGACGGUAUCUAACCAGAAAGCCACGGCUAACUACGUGCCAGCAGCCGCGGUAAUACGUAGGUGGCAAGCGUUGUCCGGAUUUAUUGGGCGUAAAGCCAGCGCAGGCGGUCAAUUAAGUCUGAUGUGAAAGCCCCCGGCUCAACCGGGGAGGGUCAUUGGAAACUGGUUGACUUGAGUGCAGAAGAGGAGAGUGGAAUUCCAUGUGUAGCGGUGAAAUGCGUAGAUAUAUGGAGGAACACCAGUGGCGAAGGCGACUCUCUGGUCUGUAACUGACGCUGAGGCUCGAAAGCGUGGGUAGCAAACAGG